CUCUGCCAUUGGAGGGCGGGUUCAGCUGCAUUGAAAUCAGAGACCUAGGCAUAGAAAAGUGAUACGUGAUACCAAGCGAAGGAGGACCCGGGUUCGGUUCCCAGCAUCCACAUGACAGCUCAUAGCCAUCUGUAAUCACAUUUAAAAGAAGAGGGCUGCGGGGAGAGAAAUCACCUUUGAUUCUUCUCUGCAUACAAUCCUCUCACCUCUCAGCGUCACAGACACGUCUCCUCCUUGCCAGUGCUUACACCGUUCUUUCUCAGGAUCUGUGGGACCAAGCUAGAGCCAGCACUUGUCUGAAGACCGGAGCGAGGAAGGGUGGUACCAAAACAAAAGGGCUCCAUCCCCUAUGGCGAGGCUCCAGUCUGUUUGGCCAGCUCUAUGUCGAUGGCCUCCAUCCCCUAUGGCGAGGCUCCAGUCUGUUUGACCAGCUCUAUGUCGAUGGC